GCAGGAGGCCUGUAUGGAUGUGGAAGGAGUGCUGAGGUGAAUUCAGACAUACAAAGGAAGCAAGUGAGGUGGAAGCAGGGGAGGUCACCCAGGAGUACUGUAGAGAUGAUGUCUGAACUUGCAGAGAUGAGGUUUCAGAAAGGCCUAAUUGAACCUGGUGAGAGAUGUGAAGGGCAACAAGAAAGGUUUCUGCAAGCAUAGAAACAGCAAAGGGAUGAGAAGGGAAAGCAUGGGCCCACUGCUGAAUGGGGCAGGGGAACUGGUGACAAAUGACAUGGAAAAGGCAACGGUACUUAAUGCCUUCCCUCCUUAGUCUAUACUAGUAAAAUGACCCUCCAGGAGUCCCAAGCCUCUGAGGCCAGAGGGAAGAUCUAGGCCGAGGAAGAAGGACGAAGGGAAAAUCAUGCUUCACCAACCUGAUAGCCAUCUACAAGGAGAUGAACAGGAGGGUUGGACCAGGUGACCUCCAGAGGUCUCUUCCAACCAAACAAUUCUGCAGCUCUGAUCUUCUAGUUUCCUAAUGAUCAUUUCACAGAGCAGACACCAUACAACAGCUCAAUGCAGGCCUGAGGGAUAGUAGCAGAUGACUCAUGAACUGGACACCAGUGGCAACACAUUUACCCCGUGUCCAUUGGCUGAGUGCUACUGACUGAGAUCACUGGCUCUACCCCAGUUUGCAGCAGCAAAGUGUCUGGUCUUGCUUGGAACUACUUGAGAAAUGGCACUUACUGUUCUAAUCCACAUUCUCACCUUAUGAAAUCUCUGAGUGUGUGCCAAAGUAUCUCAUGGCUUACCUCCCCCACAAGGGUGGACAGAUUUAGGGAAGCUCUAAACAGCACAGAGAAAGACCAUGGUUUGCUCUCCUGCUUUUGCUUAACUGGCCAACAGGUGAAUCCUGAAUGAACAGGUCAGCUCAGGAAUAAGAAGGAUCUAAAGAGAUCAAAAUAACAGCUUGUACGUGGUGAGAAAGGAAAGACCCAAGAGAUGGCAAAGGGUUCCCUCCAUUUCAUCUGCCCAGUUUUUUUGGUAUUGUUUGAAAAAAAGAAAACAUCUCAGGCAGAUGUUAUUUGUUUGCAGCCAUGCCAUUCUUAAAAUACACAAGAAAUAUACGAUGAAGACCAGCAGUGGAAAAAAAGACUACAGCAUACACUUGAAUAUACAAAGUAUUAUUUUUAACUGCUUUUCCAAAAGGACUGUGAUUUUAAUAAUAAUCUGCUUUGUUGAAGCAUCUCUCAGAUGAGGACUUCAAAUUGUGGUAGACAAAUUGUCUCAACAUGUCUGUGGAAUAGGUUCCCCAAGCUGAACUCAGAGCUGCAGACUCACUCCAUGCUGCCAGUGGUCGCAGCCUCCGCCAGUGAGAGGAGCCCGGAGGCUGCCAGCGCAUCCCCAAAGGGCUGGAGUGGGCAGGGACUUGCACUCUCAACUCAAUGCGCUGAUGCUAAGAGGCUGAAAUCCCUGUUCCUGCAGCUUGCCUCUAUGUAAGAAAUUGUCAGCAAGUCAUAUUUUCUGGGGCUGUCUUUCACUGGAUCAUUUCUUUCACCCUGUGGACCAUGCGGCUGCACAAAUGCUUGAGCUGACACCAGCAAAAGGGCAGGUUCAGCUAAUGAGUGACUCAGCCUUAUAUAAGAAAAGUCUGGAUGGGGCAUAAUAAAUCAGAGCUGACUGUGGCCAUGCUCAGCACUUCUAAGGAUCAGGCCUGCACAAGUCACCUCAAAUUAAAAUUCCUUGUCUGAAAGCAGCUCUGGAAAGUCAAUGGCAAACCAAUCUGUUAUGAAGAAUAUAAACACCUGGCAACAAACGUAGACAAGAGAGGGUAGCAGUGAAAUGCAAAGCACCGUUCAGAGGAUCCUGCAACAGGCAUCGCUCUUGGUUUCUGCUUGCUUUCUCUCUCUGAAGAGAAGAUGAAAAUGUAUCUAGUGAAAUGAGGUUCCUAGAAAGAAGCUCAAGUUCCAGAUGGCUGAUACCACGCAAGCACCAGCUGUGAGGAGACGUUGAGACCUUUGUCAAGCAAUACCAAGGAGCAGCCAGUAGUCACCUGGGCACUGGAAACGUUUUCCAUGACAUCAAGAGCUCACAACUCUACGAGAGAAUGCAUGGCGGUCUCUAGAAGGACUUCGUUUUUCUUCAAAGGAUGAUUGUUUUUCUGUGCCCACACCACUGCGAUGGAGCUGCACUGAUGAAAUGGGGGCUUUGUGAGCAGUUCCUCGUCCUGCGUCAGGAGGAGCCUCCUCUGCAGCCGUGUGAAAGCUUAUCCUCACUUGGAUGGCGAUCAGCAUGCCUCGGUGGAUGGAGCAUUGGCCGCCUGUGUGUCAUUAAGGAGCUCGAAGAGUCGAUUCAGUCCAGACAGUAAACAAUGAAUUGCUGACACUUUCGGCUCUGCUGGGGCUAAAGAAUACCAGCGCACACAUCUGAGCCCUAUCAGUGGAAACACACAAGGAUUAGAUUCUUUUGGUGACGGCUGCAGUUUUAUUGUGAAUAAUCUGAUGGGAGCCUGAUGGUGUCCAACACAUCCAUUCUUGCCUUGUGAUUCUUUUGCCAUCUGAAAUGUUGUUAGUUUUAAUGACAUAAUUAUCCUUUAUAUUUUCAGUUAGAUGUGUGGGUUGUGUUGUUUUUUUCUUUUUUUUUUUCUUUGAGUUAUAAUUAGUUUCCCUGAGAGGCAGCAGCUUUAAUGCUUGGUUAGUUUUCUGAGAAGCUGGGACUGAAAGAAUCUUUUGGGAAAUGACAAUUACAUGUCCAUGGUUUUUAUUUGGUAUGCUUUAUUUCAGUCUUUGUCUGAGCUGAAAGCUCUUGUUGACUGGCAGAAGAUGGAUUGAUUCAGUGAAAUUAAGCAAUUUCAGUCCUCCCACACCCCCCCCCCCUCCAAACAAAAACGUACAAAGAACUUGUAUGUUGACUGAAAGUAAAGUGAAUUUCUUUUGCUGAAUUUAUACAAAGUACUUAGUUGGGGAAAAAAUGCACACCCCUUCCCCCUAUCCCCAGGGCACCGAUUGACCCUGACGUGAUUUUUUUUUUUUUUUUGCUGAACUUUGCUGGAAGUUUAUCUCAACAGAAAAUUUCGUAAAAGAAGUGUGUGCUGUGCAAGGGAACAAUAACCUACGAAGCAAGAGCAGCAUAGAUUAUUCAUUAUCAAGGUAAUUCUAACAAGAUGAGAUUAUUUAGUCAGGGGA